CUCAUGGUCAACAGAAUAUGGCACAAAGAGGGUCUCCUAAGGAAGGUCCCAGUGAGGAAAGAGAAAGAACACUGCAGCACCAUCUAUGCCUACCUUUUUCUCAGCGUUUAUAAAAAAAAUUCAUAUUCCCUACAAAGCAAAACUAUGGUAUAACAGGACAACUAAGACUGCCUUGGCACCAGAGAAACUACAAUCUAGAUGUGCUCUGCUUCCAGUCGGCCGAGAAGCCUGCAGCAAAUCACCUAAACACUUAAGGUCUUUGUGUGCCAUCCACACCCAACUGCAACUAGAGACUUUCAUUGGCCCCUUUCUGUCUCAGAGCUUUCGGUGGUUCUACAAGUCACCAGCCUGGAUCUCUAACAAUGUGUCUCUCCAAAGCUGUUAAUACAUUCACAUCCAAAAUAUCUCCAGCCACGAAAUCCCAGUUUAGAGGUUGCCCGUCCUUGUUGAAGAAACAUUUCUACACAAAUACCGGUUGCCUAUACCAGAUGGCCAUACCAAUACCCAAAUACUGACAAACGUUUAAAAGAAUUUACAGUACUCCCUUCACUUUAGAAAUGUUAACAGUUCAAGUCCAACAGAACUUAAAGGAAAAAAAGAGAAAUGUUAACAGUAAGUAAGGCAUUUAUUUAACAUAAUCUCAACUAAAGUCCAACUAAAGAGCUUCCCCAGGCAAACACUCCUUUUGCACUUCAUUUUGAAGACAAAAGAAUGCACAAGUUAAAAUCCUAAUAUUACCAUUUUAUUAAAAAUAACUUUUAAGAUCCAAUCUGUGGCCAAUAUUCGAUCUGGAUGCAAAACCCUGGCUUCCAGACAGGCCAGCCGGGGGCACUGCUCUGAAGGUCAUUACUUAAGUAUCCCAGUCUCCUCAGUCUGACAGACCUACCCCUGCCCAGCCAAUCUCCACAUAACAGCUAGUUGUUCAUAAUAAAUCCCAUCAGAUCCCCGCUUAACUACUCCCCUUCAAAGGCUCCACUGCCCUCAGGAAAUAGUUCAACCACCUUCUGUGGAAAGGCCUUCUAAAACCUCUCUCCGAGUCUGUCUGCUAAUCUCUC
rnacentral:lncRNA from 1 species